rnacentral:lncRNA from 1 species
GAAUCCAAAUGCAUCGUCUGUGGCUUCGGUGGGCGCCCUGCACAAACAUCUUUGCCUUGAGGAAUGGAAAUGAGUGUAUCCAGGAGCUGUUGCCAUCAUGCCAGCCUUGUCUACCUUAAACAUUCUAGCCUUGUGAGCUGGGGCUGCUGCAGCUGUUUAGAGGGUGUGCAAGAGAGAUGGUGUGGCCUAACACAGAUGGCUCUUAGUGAGGGGAUGGGGUUCAAAAAGCCCCGUGUGCUCCCUGUGUGGUCCUUAUUCUAAUAAGGGUCUAACUCUCAUGUUGGGUGGAGGCAUCCGAGCUUUACUGAUGCAGAUGGGUUUGGAGACUGAGAUGGCCUAAGAGGGUGAGGGACUGGUGACAAGCAUGGAACGAAGUUUUCUAGUAACAGUAAUAGGAUGGGGUGCUGCUUGGGAGGAAUGUGACCCUCCAGCUUGGAAUGACAUGGAGUGAAGGCUGCGACAGAGCUGAGAGUGGAGCUGCUGGAUUCCAGUGAGCCUUCUUCCUUUUUGACAAUACUAGGAAAAUGAUCCAGAAUGCCAUAUAUACCAGGCAAGGGCCCUUUUUUGUUUUGAGACAGUCUUGCUGCAUGACCCAGGUUUAACUCAAACUUGAAAUCCUCCUGCCUUAGUCUCCUUACUGCUAAGGCUGUGUAUCACCCAAAUGGCUUUCAGAAGAGUGCUUGGUGGUGAUGGUGAUGGGUUUGAGACAGGAUCUCAUCUAAUCUGGUGCUGCUGUUUGAACCCAGACUUUGCACAUGCUAGACACACACUCUGUGACUGAGCUACAUCCCUAACUUUUUGAGCUCUCUAUUCAAAAGUGGGUCAGCCUUUCAGGGUCUUAGCGAAUGGGAUUAGCCUUGCAUUGACUGAAAUAUUAAUGGCCUUUCCUAGGUGAGGUCUUCUAGGUAUGGCAGGUGCUGAGCCAGACAGUGCUCCUUUAACUUGAGGCAGAGAGCCACCAACCAUGGUAGCUUCUACCCCUGCAACUGGGAUUUUAGUCCUAGCAAGCUCCUAGAGGUGAUCCACAAACCUACAAAGUGUGGGCUUUCUAAUCUAUACAGCUAGAAUCGAAGGGAUU